rnacentral:rRNA from 1 species
GGGCCCGCACAAGCGGUGGAGCAUGUGGUUUAAUUCGAUGCAACGCGAAGAACCUUACCAAGGCUUGACAUACUACAAAUUUUUCUGAGAAGAAAAAGUGCCUUCGGGAAUGUAGAUACAGGUGGUGCAUGGCUGUCGUCAGCUCGUGUCGUGAGAUGUUGGGUUAAGUCCCGCAACGAGCGCAACCCUUGUUUUUAGUUGCCAAUUUAUUGGGUUUUCUAGAAAGACUGCCGGUGACAAACCGGAGGAAGGUGAGGAUGACGUCAAGUCAGCAUGCCCCUUAUGCCUUGGGCUACACACGUGCUACAAUGGCUAGGACAAAGAGUUGCGAGCUCGCGAGAGUCAGCUAAUCUCAUAAACUUAGCCUAAGUUCGGAUUGUAGGCUGCAACUCGCCUACAUGAAGUCGGAAUCGCUAGUAAUCGC